rnacentral:rRNA from 1 species
UAGAGUUUGAUCAUGGCUCAGGAUGAACGCUGGCGGCGUGCUUAACACAUGCAAGUCGAACGAAGCACCUGAGAAUGAUUCUUCGGAUGAAGUCUCUUGUGACUGAGUGGCGGACGGGUGAGUAACGCGUGGGUAACCUGCCUCACACAGGGGGAUAACAGUUGGAAACGACCGCUAAUACCGCAUAACCCGCUGGUGCCGCAUGGCACUGACGGAAAAGAUUUUAUCGGUGUGAGAUGGACCCGCGUCUGAUUAGCCAGUUGGCAGGGUAACGGCCUACCAAAGCGACGAUCAGUAGCCGGCCUGAGAGGGUGAACGGCCACAUUGGGACUGAGACACGGCCCAGACUCCUGCGGGAGGCAGCAGUGGGGAAUAUUGCACAAUGGGGGAAACCCUGAUGCAGCGACGCCGCGUGAGUGAAGAAGUAUUUCGGUAUGUAAAGCUCUAUCAGCAGGGAAGAAAAUGACGGUACCUGACUAAGAAGCCCCGGCUAACUACGUGCCAGCAGCCGCGGUAAUACGUAGGGGGCAAGCGUUAUCCGGAUUUACUGGGUGUAAAGGGAGCGUAGACGGUGAUGCAAGUCAGAAGUGAAAGCCCGGGGCUCAACUCCGGGACUGCUUUUGAAACUGUGUGACUGGAGUGCAGGAGAGGUAAGCGGAAUUCCUGGUGUAGCGGUGAAAUGCGUAGAUAUCAGGAGGAACACCAGUGGCGAAGGCGGCUUACUGGACUGUAACUGACGUUGAGGCUCGAAAGCGUGGGGAGCAAACAGGAUUAGAUACCCUGGU